GGUCUACCUGCGGACCUAAGAAUGCAGGACGGUGGGAGCUGGCGACCUCCUAAAACGCCUA
rnacentral:ncRNA from 1 species